rnacentral:rRNA from 1 species
GAUGAACGCUAGCGGCAGGCCUAAUACAUGCAAGCCGAACGGCAGCACGAUCUUCGGAUUGGUGGCGAGUGGCGCACGGGUGCGUAACGCGUAUGCAACCUACCCUUGACAGGGGGAUAGCCCGGGGAAACCCGGAUUAAUACCCCAUGGUAUUACUGAAUCGCCUGGUUUAGUAAUUAAAGAUUUAUUGGUCAGGGAUGGGCAUGCGUCUGAUUAGCUAGUUGGUGAGGUAAUGGCUCACCAAGGCGAUGAUCAGUAGGGGGUCUGAGAGGAUGAUCCCCCACACUGGUACUGAGAUACGGACCAG